GAUGAAGAACGUAGCGAAAUGCGAUAAGUAAUGUGAAUUGCAGAAUUCAGUGAAUCAUCGAAUCUUUGAACGCACAUUGCGCCCGGGAGCAUUCUCCCGGGCAUGCCUGUUCGAGCGUCAUUUCAACCCUCGAUUUCCCUUUGGGGAAGUCGGCCGUUGGAGAUCGGCAUCACUGCCGGCUCCCAAAUACAGUGGCGACCCGCCGCGGGGACCCCUGCGUAGUAACUUACACUCGCACCGGAAACCAGACGUGUCACGCCGUAAAACCCCCAACUUUCUGAACGUUGACCUCGGAUCAGGUAGGAAUACCCGCUGAACUUAAGCAUAUCAAUAAGCGGAGGA
rnacentral:misc_RNA from 1 species